AGAUUCCUACGGGGGGCAGCAGUGAGGGAUAUUGGUCAAUGGGGGAAACACUGAACCAGCAACGCCGCGUGAGGGAAGACGGUUUUCGGAUUGUAAACCUCUGUCCUCUGUGAAGAUAAUGACGGUAGCAGAGGAGGAAGCUCCGGCUAGCUACGUGCCAGCAGCCGCGGUAAUACGUAGGGAGCGAGCGUUGUCCGGAUUUACUGGGUGUAAAGGGUGCGUAGGCGGGUAAG
rnacentral:rRNA from 1 species